UACGAAGGGGGCUAGCGUUGCUCGGAAUCACUGGGCGUAAAGCGCACGUAGGCGGAUCGUUAAGUCAGGGGUGAAAUCCUGGAGCUCAACUCCAGAACUGCCUUUGAUACUGAAGAUCUUGAGUCCGGGAGAGGUGAGUGGAACUGCGAGUGUAGAGGUGAAAUUCGUAGAUAUUCGCAAGAACACCAGUGGCGAAGGCGGCUCACUGGCCCGGUACUGACGCUGAGGCACGAAAGCGUGGGGAGCAAACAGGG
rnacentral:rRNA from 1 species